rnacentral:lncRNA from 10 species
UUGGAGGACACCCAGCUGGUGUCCACUGCUUGGUGGUGAGAAGAAACUCCCACACCUUUGGUCACAGAAGUCUUCUGUGUUUAUUGUUCUAGUGUGAGAACAGAGGAGAAGCCUGGUUUGAGUGAGUUUUUCCUGAAGCAAAAGGGAAGAGCUUAAUUUCAAAAGAAUAUCUUGAAAGACGCAUCAACUCACCAUUAGAAAACAUGAAACGACAGAUUAUAUCCUAAGAUUGUGUGAACCUCUUACCUGGAAACCCGUACAAUUGCUUUAUCUACCAAUCCUAAACUAUUAUAUCUUGAUCUUUACUCAAUCCUAAUUACACACCCACAUUGAAAGACCUAUCUUAAUUCAGACUUCAAAAUCUUACAAACGUCCAAGUCCCUCCUUUGAAAUGCUACUAAGACUGCAGUAAGAAUACAUAGCAUGCAGUGACUGAGAGGAAGAGAGAUACUAACACUUGAAGUAAUCCAGUCUAUCAAUAGGAGAUGGACUGCUUUGAUUUAAAGCGAUUUACAAAAGGAUUUGGAUACCUCAUCUCUCCUGUUUCGCCAAGGUCUUGACUCAUCGCUGCAGGUUGUAUAAUUAGUCUCAUUAAUCUAGCAAAUGAUGGCAAAAUGCUUGGUAAUGAUGUCUAACUGGGGUUCCUUUCCAAGGAACCUUUGUUGUUUAAUUAGGAGAUAAUGGAUGAGCUUGUAGAGAGACCAGGGUUAUAAAAGGCAGUAGCAUGUCAAUGUGCCCAUGCCUAGUUCAAUACAAUGGUUUUUAAGCCAAGUAUUCAAAUAAAUUGACAUUAUGUAGGUACAUGAAUUUAAAAGGGGUCAUUAUUCACUAACUAUAUUUUAACAUAUGCUUAGAGCAACCCAUUACUGCUGGGGAUAAUAAACGGUGCCCAGAUGAACAACCACAUUGCAUACAAAGGAUGGUGUCUGAGAUCACUACUGGGCCCGACUUAGCCACCAUCUUUCCAAAUAGAAUCAUAGGUUUGGAAAUUUAUCCCUUCUAUGGAUGAAGCACCAAACUAUUAAACUGCAAAACCAUUCUGUAUUUAUUCUUUCCAGCUGCAGUUCCCUUGACAAUAAAUGAAGAGUUUGU